CCUACGGGAGGCAGCAGUGAGGAAUAUUGGUCAAUGGCCGGAAGGCUGAACCAGCCAUGCCGCGUGAAGGUCAGUGCCCUAUGGGCGUUAAACUUCUUUUGUGCGGGAGCAAUAAUGGUCACGUGUGGCCAGACGAGAGUACCGUACGAAUAAGCAUCAGCUAACUCAGUGCCAGCAGCCGCGGUAAUACGGGGGAUGCAAGCGUUAUCCGGAUUUAUUGGGUUUAAAGGGGGCGUAGGCUGUGAGGUAAGUCAGCGGUGAAAUGCCCCCGCUCAACGGGGUGAAGUGCCAUUGAUACUGCCUGGCUGGAAUGCGGAUGCCGUGGGAGGAAUGUGUGGUGUAGCGGUGAAAUGCAUAGAUAUCACACAGAACACCGAUUGCGAAGGCAUCUCACGAAUCCGCGAUUGACGCUGAUGCACGAAAGCGUGGGUAUCAAACAGGAGUAGAUACCCCAGUAGUC
rnacentral:rRNA from 1 species